rnacentral:rRNA from 1 species
UAUACAUGCAGUCGAGCGGACCGACGGGAGCUUGCUCCCUUAGGUCAGCGGCGGACGGGUGAGUAACACGUGGGUAACCUGCCUGUAAGACUGGGAUAACUCCGGGAAACCGGGGCUAAUACCGGAUGCUUGAUUGAACCGCAUGGUUCAAUCAUAAAAGGCGGCUUCGGCUGCCGUUUACAGAUGGACCCGCGGCGCAUUAGCUAGUUGGUGAGGUAACGGCUCACCAAGGCGACGAUGCGUAGCCGACCUGAGAGGGUGAUCGGCCACACUGGGACUGAGACACGGCCCAGACUCCUACGGGAGGCAGCAGUAGGGAAUCUUCCGCAAUGGACGAAAGUCUGACGGAGCAACGCCGCGUGAGUGAUGAAGGUUUUCGGAUCGUAAAGCUCUGUUGUUAGGGAAGAACAAGUACCGUUCGAAUAGGGCGGUACCUUGACGGUACCUAACCAGA